rnacentral:rRNA from 1 species
GACGGAGGGUGCUAGCGUUGUUCGGAUUGACUGGGCGUAAAGGGCGCGUAGGCGGUUCGUACAGUCAGACGUGAAAUUCCUGGGCUCAACCUGGGGGCUGCGUUUGAUACGUGCGGACUUGAGUGCGGAAGAGGGUCGUGGAAUUCCCAGUGUAGAGGUGAAAUUCGUAGAUAUUGGGAAGAACACCGGUGGCGAAGGCGGCGACCUGGUCCGAUACUGACGCUGAGGCGCGAAAGCGUGGGGAGCAAACAGG